GACGAACGCUGGCGGCGUGCCUAAUACAUGCAAGUCGAACGCAGUGGGGACGGGUGAGUAACACGUGGGUAACAUCCCAUCAGAGGGGAUAAAACUGGGAAACAGGUGCUAAACCGAUACUGAUGGAUGGACCCGCGGUGCAUUAGUUAGUUGGUGAGGUAACGGCUCACCAAGGCCACGAGGCAUAGCCGACCUGAUAGCAUGAUCGGCCACACGGGGACUGAGACUCGGCCCAGACUCUUACUGUAGGCAGCAGUAGGGAAUCUUCGGCAAUGGACGAAAGUCUGACCGAGCAACGCGGCGGGAGUGAAGAAGGUUUUCGGAUCGUAAAACGCUGUUGUGAGAGAAGCGGUAUCUAACCAGAAAGCCACGGCUAACUACGUGCCAGCCGCCGCGGUUAAUUC
rnacentral:rRNA from 1 species